rnacentral:sRNA from 1 species
CGUACCUGGAGGAACAGGGCUAUCCUUACCGAGAUUGGGGAGACCAAGGACAAGGCAGGCUGGGAGGUGGCCAUGUUGAGUUAGAGGUACCCAUGCAGGGACACUGAGGACAUGAGUGUCUCAGAUCUGCAGUAGAGCAGGGCUCCCAAGCAGGUGGUCUUUGGCAAAUGCCAGAUGAGGUCCCUGGCGGGGGAGCCCAGGCCUUGGGGAGCCCUUCAUGUAGGUCAGGAAUAGACUUGGGGAACUGUGGGGCGCCUCUGAGGAGCUGCGUCUGGAGGGUCCUGGGCCCCCCAGUCCCUCCUGAGCGUUGGGCCAGGUCCAGUGAGCACUGCCCAACCCCCAUAGACAGCCGAUCGCCAGUACAUGGAGGGCUUCAACGACGAGCUGGAAGCCUUCAAGGAGCGUGUGCGGGGCCGUGCCAAGCUGCGCAUCGAGAAGGCCAUGAAGGAGUACGAGGAGGAGGAGCGCAAGAAGCGGCUCGGCCCCGGCGGCCUGGACCCCGUCGAGGUCUACGAGUCCCUCCCUGAGGAACUCCAGAAGUGCUUCGAUGUGAAGGACGUGCAGAUGCUGCAGGACGCCAUCAGCAAGAUGGACCCCACCG